UUCAACGUCACAAUAACAGUCACCUAGGCAAUUUUUCAAUUGAAGAUAAGAUCUAUAAAGUUGUUGAAUGUUGUCGUAUCGUAAUUGAUUUUGAGAAAUGUGUAUCUACAAACACAACAUUUGUCAACGACAAACAAUUACAACAACAGCCCAAGAAGUUUCUCAAAGUUUUUUGUGACGUGAGCUUUUAUACAAAUAUUUAUAAAAACGUAUUUCGUAAUAAACAAAGUAAAAGAGAUAUAUUCUUUAUGACAUUUUCUGUUGUGACAAAAUUCGUGCGUCCCGGAAAAACUUCAGAUAAUUUGGCAAAACUAAUAUUUGCUAUAAUUCAUUUGUAAAUAUGGUAUUGCGUCAUACACACAAAACAUAUUUAUGCAGAUAAAAGUCUACAACACAAAAAUAUUUUCGACCGCCACCACCGUGUUAAAGAUCGCGUAGGCGGAUAGAAAGCUGACUUCUGCCAUCCGACAACAAUAGCAAUAAAACAGCUCGUAUGUAACUGUUGUUUGCACGAUGAACCGAUAUGCGGUAUGUCACGUGUGCGUGUGUACAGUUGAAUGCUGUCAGUUAACAACUUCGGCGAUACUGUUAUUGUGCCAAUUGUUGUCAUAAAUGUCAAUGAGUCAAUGAGCCAUGAAUUGUUUAAUUAAAUAUUGCCAAGAAAUUAAAUAUUUAAAUAGAGAAAUUUCCAUUCCGGUAAUUUCAACAAUUGGAGCAAAAAAUUAAAAGCAAAUAAAUGAAAUUAAAUGUAAAGAAAA